rnacentral:rRNA from 1 species
AACACAACUCUCAGCAACGGAUAUCUUGGCUCUUGCAACGAUGAAGAACGCAGCGAAAUGCGAUACGUAGUGUGAAUUGCAGAAUUCCGCGAAUCAUCGAGUCUUUGAACGCAAGUUGCGCCCGAGGCUUGUCCGAGGGCAUUUCCGCUAGAGCGUCA